ensembl:misc_RNA 7SK 7SK RNA
GCGAGAACAAACUGGCUGUGACAUUUAUCACCAGGGUUGGCUUGGUCUGGCUGGCCUGGCUGAUUGAAUGGUUGUCCCCUUUCUCCAUCACACUCCACUGUGCUGAAGCCACACAGUCAGGGGGAAAAGAUGCACUUCCUCCAUAGAGGACUAGCACCCUCCAGUCAGGGGUAGAGGAGCCAUGCUCAGCUGCUAGAACCACCAGAAAAACUCUGAUGGUCCAUUUGCAGAACAUGGGUAUUUAUGGUUCCAGAGAGACAUACCCUGGUGAGAUGCUGCAAAUCUCUCUCU